UUAUUCUUGCUGGGUUUCUCUAGCCAUUUCACAGUACAGUCAUGGUGUUGCAUUUGAUCCUCAGGUACCAGAUACCCAUAAACUCCCAAAGGUAGACACAGUCAUAGUCCUAGCCACACACACACUACAUUUUCAAUCUCCCAUGAGGGAGCCACUCUCCUAAGCAAACAGUGUUGGAUUACUGAAUUCCAGCACAAAGGCUUGUGAGAUACUGUUAUUUAUGAAAAAAAGAUAAAGACGUCAAUCAUUUUGUGUUAUUCCAGACAAGAGCACUGUCCAACAUCACCAGUGCAGUCAAGUGCAAGUCAUCAAAUGUCAGACAAACGCACUUUGCAUGAACAGUUUCCAAAAGCAACAAAGAAGGAUGAUAAGGAAUGGCAGUUUUCAACUGAAUUCCUGCUGUCUGUGACUGUGUUCAUGGUUAUGGUUGGCUUGGCCUCAUUGAGAUGACUAAAUGACCUGGACAAAUAAACCACUCCAUGGCUAGAGGCUCAUUCCUGAAGAAGAUUCAAGUUCAACAUGCCCUACCUAAAGAGAAUGGAGCUCUAGACCUUUUAAGUUAAAAGUGCUCUUGGCAUGAAGUAAGAGGAGAGGACUGCUGUAAUAUUUAUGAGGAAAGCUAGAAGGAAAAAAAAAA